GCUUCAGUGGCCUAGUGGUUAGAGCAUCUGUCUUGGAUGCAGGAGGUUGUGGGUUUGAUCCCCAGCCAAGUCA